rnacentral:rRNA from 1 species
UACAGGGGGUGCUAGCGUUGUUCGGAAUUACUGGGCGUAAAGGGCGCGUAGGCGGUUUUGUAAGUCAGGAGUGAAAUCCCGGAGCUUAACUUCGGAAUUGCUUUUGAAACUACAAGGCUAGAGUGAGUUAGAGGAUGGCGGAAUUCCUAGUGUAGUGGUGAAAUACGUAGAUAUUAGGAAGAACACCGGUGGCGAAGGCGGCCAUCUGGGACUCAACUGACGCUGAGGCGCGAAAGCGUGGGGAGCGAACAGG